UCCUGGUGGCUCAGAUGGUAAAGCGUCUGCCUGCAAUGCAGGAGACCUGGGCUCGAUUCCUGGGUCAAGAA
rnacentral:tRNA from 1 species